GAUCUCAGGGAGAGGGGAAUCUUUUUUCCCUUUCUUCUUCUUAUUCACUUUAGAUGUUAGCGUAACUUAGUUUAGAAUAUAUGUGACAGAGGCUUGGAUGUUGGAGAACACUAAAAAGUUUAUUCAGGCACAGAGCUUAGUGGUUACAAUGUUGCUUCUCAGAGUUACACUUUCUUCAACAGUUGCAAAUAUAACCUAUGAUGAAUCCACUUUCAAAAUACUUUCUCCUUUCCUUGAGCAGUCUAAACCUUUUUCUUUUCUUACAACCAAAGCUAUCAACUGAUUACUUUGUAUCUAACUGGGAUUGCUUCCCCUUACCACUCAGACUCUACAAAUAAACCCAAACAAGUCACUUAACUUGCUUAAUAUGACACAACUAGAGAUCUGAGCUUCCCUGGUUAGGGAAACCAGGGAAGCUCAGAUCUCUAGUUGUGUCAUAUUAAGCAAGUUAAGUGACUUGUUUGGGUUUAUUUGUAGAGUCUGAGUGGUAAGGGGAAGCAAUCCCAGUUAGAUCCAAAGUGAUCAGUUGAUAGCUUUGGUUGUAAGAGAAGAAAAAGGUUUAGACUGCUCAAGGAAAGGAGAAAGUAUUUUGAAAGUGGAUUUAUCAUAGGUUAUAUUUGCAACUGUUGAAGAAAGUGUAACUCUGAGAAGCAACAUUGUAACCACUAAGCUCUGUGCCUGAAUAAACUUUUUAGUGUUCUCCAACAUCCAAGCUUCUGUCACAUAUAUUCUAAACUAAGUUACGCUACCAUCUAAAGUGAAUAAUAAGAAGAAAGACAGGAAAAGACUCCCCUCUGCCUGAGUUCUUUACAGAAGGAAAGAGUCACCGAGAGAGCCUGCCCACCAUUGUCAGAGACUGUUGCACUCCAACUUUGAGACACCUUUUCACCCAGCAUCACACCAGAAUCCAGUAGUACUAACUAGAUAAGUAUGUACAAAAACAAAAAAGGGAAUUUCCCAAAAAGCAGUAGAAAAGGAGCUAUAAAAUAGCAGUAGUCCAUACAAAAAAAACCAGUAAUCCAAAAUAGCAAGGUACAUGAAAUCCAGGAAGUCAAGAUCACAGGCAUAAAUACAUGAAGCAUGAAAACAGGAACUUUGUCCAAGACAAAACUCUUUCAGGAACAUAGACAAACACAGAAGACUUGAGAGCUGAAACAGGAACUUGAAUUUAUGGCAAUGUUGCCUACUCUGGGCACAAAGUAAACCUCCCUUAAUUUAAGCCCAGGCCUGACCAAGAAACCAUGGGAUCAUGCCUCAGACACCUGGGCUUCAAGGAUUUCUCAGGGAGUCUUUCUGAACACCUAAUUAAUCUAUCCUUCACUCCCUCCGUGCGGAGACCUAAACUGAUAGCAUGGGAAAACUCCCCAUCGACUGAAGACCGAUUCCCUUGAGAACUGGACUUUUUCCUGUUGGUAAGGAAUGAACAUUGGAAUCCAAAACAUCCUCUGUCUCAUCUUUAACUGCCGGCACUUCUCUCUGAUCUAAGGACUACAAUUCUGUUGGUGUUUUUGUGAAAUGUUUAAUCUAUUGUUGCUGUGGAAAUGUAUGUAUUUCGUUCCAGCAAGCAUUCCAGCAGUCAAGAGGUUAAUUGCAGCGAGUACUGAUUGAUUGCUGGAAUAUACAUCACAGGCUGUGGAAUGCAGAGGAGGUGCUUCAGUGUACAGAGAACAGACUUUGAGAGAGAUGGAGGAUGCAACAUGUGUCCUGAUAGCUUUGGAAUUUAGCACUGUAAAUAAUGUAAAUAAAGCUUCAGUGCCGCUGAGUUUCAGCAAAUAUAAAUCAGCGAAGUUGUCGUGCUUUAUCGGUGCCACUUUCGCCGUUUGCAGAGUGGUCUGACUGGUGAGCUGAGGUGAGACCUGGCUCAUCAAACAGUCGGGGUUGCCGAUUCCCUGACAAAUUAACCCUGAUUACUCACAGACUCCUCGGUGGGAAACCCAUCAUCCCCUUCGUCCUCUGAGAAAUCCCCAGCCUCUUGCUGCUGAGCCCCAUUGUGAGGUGGGCCUUCUCAGAGCUGGAGAAUGAGAAAGCAGGCAGGCAAUGGCCCUUUCAGGAACCCAGGAAGCACUGGGUGUAAACUGUAGUGUCUCAGAGACCCCCGAGUCAUGACCCCCGUCGCCAUUAUGGAUCAGACCAAAGAAGAGAUGGGGUUUGUGCCACUUCCGCAAGAUUCUGCCCCUUUCCAGAUGUCCCCUGUUGACAGUUUUAGCCCACGGUUAAUUAAAAAGGGCCUUGACUCACAGCCCAGUUCUCCAGAGAGCGCUCCUUUUGACCGCAGAUUGUUUUGGGAAACAUCUCGCUCGGAGAAGCAGAAUCUGAGAAGAAGUGCUAGAUUAGUGGAGAGAGCAAGCGUUAAUUAAGCCGGUUCCCUUGAGAGUUUCCAGGGAGGAUUGCAUCUGGCAAGUUGUUGACUUAGUCCACUUUCCCUUGGGAAAGAGUGUUCAGACACCUGGCUGGAGAGGAGAGUGUAGUCCCAUAAAAGUUCUGGGCGUCGACUGACCUUUGUGGUGUUCAACGUGUCAGUUGAGGAAUUCACAUGGACUCCAGUUCUGCAGCGCGCUACUCACGAGUAGACCGGCGUUGCAUCUCGUCUCCCUGUCAAGCCUGGACAGCGAUUCAGCUUUACCACAACUAACUUUGCCUUGCCUUGUAUCCUAGCCUUGGAAUUGAACCCUGGAGCUCUUUGACAGAUCUUGCUUUAAUCCCCACUCAAACAGCCUAAAGGUUUGAGUGUGUUUCGGUUAUUGGAUUUAAAACUUUGAACUGGACAUCUACUUUCACAUUAUUGGACUAUAUUUGACCUUUUCUGGAAUGACUAUUGCUGGACUAUAUACUCUGCUUAUUUUUAGUUGUCUCCUUUAUUUCCUUAAUAAAGAUAUUAGAUUGUU